GCGUCGGUGGUGUAACGGUUCAUCACACACUUCCGGAAAGAGUGAGAUUUGAGUUCGAAUCCCGGCUGACGCA